CAGCACCUCAAGUGGUCAGGAUGAUUAUUGGGCCUAAAGCAUCCGUAGCCGGCGCUGUAAGUUUUCGGUUAAAUCUGUACGCUCAACGUACAGGCUGCCGGGAAUACUGCAGCGCUAGGGAGUGGGAGAGGUAGACGGUACUCGGUAGGAAGGGGUAAAAUCCUUUGAUCUAUUGAUGACCACCGGUGGCGAAGGCGGUCUACCAGAACACGUCCGACGGUGAGGGAUGAAAGCUGGGGGAGCAAACCGGAUUAGAUACCCGCGUAGUCC
rnacentral:rRNA from 1 species